GACGUAGGGGGCCAGCGUUGUUCGGAAUUACUGGGUGUAAAGGGUUCGUAGGCGGUGUGGCAAGUCGGGAGUGAAAUCUCUGGGCUCAACCCAGAGACUGCUUCCGAAACUGCUGUGCUUGAGUGUGAGAGAGGCUCGUGGAAUUGCAGGUGUAGCGGUGAAAUGCGUAGAUAUCUGCAGGAACACCCGUGGCGAAAGCGGCGAGCUGGAUCACUACUGACGCUGAGGAACGAAAGCGUGGGGAGCAAACAGG
rnacentral:rRNA from 1 species